rnacentral:rRNA from 3 species
UCUGGCGGCAGUAGCGCGGUGGUCCCACCUGACCCCAUGCCGAACUCAGAAGUGAAACGCCGUAGCGCCGAUGGUAGUGUGGGGUCUCCCCAUGCGAGAGUA